rnacentral:piRNA from 1 species
GUGGAGGGUCUGGCAAGGGUCUGAGACU